rnacentral:lncRNA from 1 species
UUUUAGUUCCAGACACUCGACGGCAAACACCGCUGUUCGGGAGUUAAAAUGGCCCCGAACACGUGGAAGUCCCGAAAUGGCGGCCGUGCAUACAGUUCCCAUAGCGUUCGUGCGGUUUUUCCACGAAAAUGCCCAUCAAGCAGGGAGGUAAAUUACUCUCAAUUUAGAGUCAGGGUGGCCUGUUAGUACUUAGCAAGCAUUCGCAUGGAGAAUGCUUGUAAAGUCCCGAACUGCAUUUUAAUCCACAAGUCUUUGCUGAAACUGUUC